rnacentral:lncRNA from 1 species
GCUCCCUUUCCGUCACCUUUAAGUGUACAUGGAGGUCUGGCUCCCUUUCCGUCACCUUUAAGUGUACAUGGAGGUCUGGCUCCCUUAGUGUUGCACAAUACAUGGGGAUGUCACAUUGUCCAUUCCCCUCGAGAUGACAGGCCCUCAGUCUCCACAAUGACCCAGCGGUCACCAGCCUCAGUACUGGGACUCAGACAAGAGGACCUGACAUAGAAAUGGGCAUGUGUCGUACAGCGAAAACGUCACACGGUGAAAAGCUCACAUUCAGAGCAUGAGAGAGAAAGAGAGAGAGAGGGGGCAGAGAAUGAGACAGAGAGAGAGUGUAGAGCGAAUGAGAGAGAGUAAGAUAGAAGGGGGUAGAGAGAAUGAGAGAAAGAGAGGGAGAGAGAUGAGGGGUAGAGAGAGAGAGAGAGAGAGAGAGAGGGAGAGAAAGAGAAGAGGGGUAGAGAGAGAAGAGCAGUAAAGAGAGAGAUGAGGGGUAGAGAGAGAGAAAGAGAAGUGGGGUAGAGAGAGAGGGGUAGAGAGAGAGAGUGUGAGAGAAGAGGGGUAGAGAGAGAGGGGUAGAGAGAGAGAAAGAGAGAGAAGAGGGAUAGAGAGAGAGAGAAGAGGGGUAGAGAGAGAGAGAUGGGUAGAGAGAGAAAGAGAGAGGAGGGGUAGAGAGAGAAAGAGAGAGAAGAGGGGUAUAGAGAGAGAGAGAAAGAAGAGGGGUAGAGAGAGAGGGGGGUAGAGAGAGAGAGAAGAGGGGGUAGAGAUAGAGGGGAGAGAGAGAGAGAGAGAAGAGGGGGUAGUGAGAAAGAGAGCACCGCAGCAUGAGAUGAAGAGACUCAUUUUGAAUUCAGCACCAGUGGAAAAAAGGCAAUUUUUUAAACGGUUCAUUUGUUUGUUUUUACAUAACUUUUUUUUUUGUAUGACAAAAAGAUCCUCUUUUUAAAAAAUCUACACUGCCCUGCCUGUGAUGGGACCCCCAUGGCAUGUUUUAGAGGGUCUACACAGAGGUCUAUGGCUGCUUACGACCUUGUUGGAGAGCCACGACAGCGCCGUCCCACCCCCCUGUUCUCCCGGUAUAAAAGUUAAACAAGUGUCUUUGGCAGAUUUACAGAAAAGGUCCUCAUCUACUCUGGGACGCUACUGCUAGAAAUUGCAAAGAUGUUAGAGACUGGUCAGAGACACACAAGAAGAGAGAGAGAGAGAGAGAGAGAGAGAGAGAGAGAGAGAGAGAGAGAGAGAGAGAGACUGGUCAGAGACACACAAGAAGAGAGAGAGAGAGAGAGAGAGAGAGAGAGAGAGAGACUGGUCAGAGACACAAGAAGAGAGAGAGGGAAAGACUGGUCAGAGACACACAAGAAGAGAGAGAGAGAGAGAGAGAGAGAGAGAGAGAGAGAGAGAGAGAGAGAGAGAGAGAGAGAGAGAGACUGGUCAGAGACACACAAGAAGAGAGAGAGAGAGAUAAAGAGAAGGUUCACCUAUGAUCUAUCACCGCAGGAGCCAACGUGACAAAGUAAUAUACUACUGUAUAAUACACUGUAACAGAAUGAACAUGUACAAGUGGGACACUAUUGAGCAUAAUCAAAGCACAAAGCCUCAAAGAGAAACGCAAACAGUCCGAAGAUGAAGAUGCAAAUGAGAGGGUCCUUAAGUGGAGAUGACGUCACUGUCGACCAUCCAGACACGUAGGAGGGGAGUUUGUUCUCAGUUCGGUUCAAAACCCCAUCCAUUUCUUGCACAUCCCAGCGCUCCUCUGCAGCUGGGAGGCUG